UGCCAGCCGCCGCGGUAAUACGAAGGGAGCAAGCGUUGUUCGGAAUCACUGGGCAUAAAGGGCACGUAGGCGGCCUGGUAAGUUGGAUGUGAAAGCCCAUGGCUCAACCAUGGAAUUGCAUUCAAUACUGCCGGGCUUGAGGCCGGUAGGGGAGUGUGGAACUUCUAGUGUAGCGGUGAAAUGCGUAGAUAUUAGAAGGAACGCCGGUGGCGAAAGCGACACUCUGGACCGGUUCUGACGCUAAGGUGCGAAAGCGUGGGGAGCGAACGGGAUUAGAUA
rnacentral:rRNA from 1 species